CCUUUAGGUUCGGAAUAACUCAGAGAAAUUUGAGCUAAUACCGGAUAAUGUCUUCGGACCAAAGAUUUAUCGCCUUUAGAUGGGCCCGCGUUAGAUUAGAUAGUUGGUGGGGUAAUGGCCUACCAAGUCGACGAUCUAUAGCUGGUCUGAGAGGAUGAUCAGCCACACUGGGACUGAGACACGGCCCAGACUCCUACGGGAGGCAGCAGUGGGGAAUAUUGGACAAUGGGCGAAAGCCUGAUCCAGCAAUGCCGCGUGAGUGAUGAAGGCCUUAGGGUUGUAAAGCUCUUUUACCAGGGAUGAUAAUGACAGUACCUGGAGAAUAAGCUCCGGCUAACUCCGUGCCAGCAGCCGCGGUAAUACGGAGGGAGCUAGCGUUGUUCGGAAUUACUGGGCGUAAAGCGCGCGUAGGCGGCUUUUUAAGUCAGGGGUGAAAUCCCGGGGCUCAACCCCGGAACUGCCCUUGAAACUGGAUGGCUAGAAUACUGGAGAGGUGAGUGGAAUUCCGAGUGUAGAGGUGAAAUUCGUAGAUAUUCGGAAGAACACCAGUGGCGAAGGCG
rnacentral:rRNA from 1 species